UGGGGGAUAUUGCACAAUGGGCGCAAGCCUGAUGCAGCGACGCCGCGUGAGUGAAGAAGUAUUUCGGUAUGUAAAGCUCUAUCAGCAGGGAAGAAAGGCCCGCAAGGGAGAUGACGGUACCUGACUAAGAAGCCCCGGCUAACUACGUGCCAGCAGCCGCGGUAAUACGUAGGGGGCAAGCGUUAUCCGGAUUUACUGGGUGUAAAGGGAGCGCAGACGGAACUGCAAGUCUGAUGUGAAAGCCCGGGGCUCAACCGCGGGACUGCAUUGGAAACUGUAGAUCUGGAGUGCCGGAGGGGCAAGCGGAAUUCCUGGUGUAGCGGUGAAAUGCGUAGAUAUUAGGAAGAACACCAGUGGCGAAGGCGACUUACUGGACUGAAACUGACGCUGAGGCUCGAAAGCGUGGGGAGCAAACAGG
rnacentral:rRNA from 2 species